rnacentral:rRNA from 1 species
GGCCUAACACAUGCAAGUCGAGCGCCCCGCAAGGGGAGCGGCGGACGGGUUAGUAACGCGUGGGAACCUACCCUUUUCUACGGAAUAGCCUCGGGAAACUGAGAGUAAUACCGUAUACGCCCUUUGGGGGAAAGAUUUAUCGGAGAAGGAUGGGCCCGCGUCUGAUUAGAUAGUUGGUGGGGUAAUGGCCUACCAAGUCUACGAUCAGUAGCUGGUUUGAGAGGAUGAUCAGCAACACUGGGACUGAGACACGGCCCAGACUCCUACGGGAGGCAGCAGUGGGGAAUCUUAGACAAUGGGCGCAAGCCUGAUCUAGCCAUGCCGCGUGAGUGACGAAGGCCUUAGGGUCGUAAAGCUC